CCUACGGGAGGCAGCAGUGGGGAAAUUUGGACAAUGGGCGCAAGCCUGAUCCAGCCAUGCCGCGUGAGUGAAGAAGGCCUUCGGGUUGUAAAGCUCUUUCGGCCGGGAAGAAAUCGUGUUCUCUAACAUAGGACAUGGAUGACGGUACCGGACUAAGAAGCACCGGCUAACUACGUGCCAGCAGCCGCGGUAAUACGUAGGGUGCGAGCGUUAAUCGGAAUUACUGGGCGUAAAGCGUGCGCAGGCGGUUUUGUAAGACAGAUGUGAAAUCCCCGGGCUUAACCUGGGAACUGCGUUUGUGACUGCAAGGCUAGAGUACGGCAGAGGGGGGUGGAAUUCCUGGUGUAGCAGUGAAAUGCGUAGAUAUCAGGAGGAACACCGAUGGCGAAGGCAGCCCCCUGGGCCUGUACUGACGCUCAUGCACGAAAGCGUGGGGAGCAAACAGGAUUAGAUACCCUGGUAGUCCACGCCCUAAACGAUGUCGACUAGUCGUUCGGAGCAGCAAUGCACUGAGUGACGCAGCUAACGCGUGAAGUCGACCGCCUGGGGAGUACGGCCGCAAGGUUAAAACUCAAAGGAAUUGACGG
rnacentral:rRNA from 1 species